rnacentral:lncRNA from 1 species
AUGGCUACCGCAAAGAAGGGUGGUGAGAAGAAGGACCGUUCUGCCAUCAACGAGGUGGUGACCCGAGAAUACACCAUCAACAUUCCUUCACAAGCGCACCCAUGGAGUGGGCUUCAAGAAGUGUGCUUCUCGGGCACGCAAAGAAAUUCGGAAGUUUGCUAUAAGGGAAAUGGGGAUCCCAGAUGUGUGCAUUGACAUCAGGCUCAAUAAAGCCAUCUGGGCCAAGGGAAUAAGGAAUGUUCCAUAUGGCAUCUGAGUAUGCCUAUCCAGAAAAUGUAAUAAAGAUGAGGAUUCCCCAAACAAGCUCUACAGGCUGGUAACUUACACGCCUGUUACCACACUCAAAAAUCUACAGACUGUCAAUGUGGAUGAGAACUGA